ACUAGAAUGAACGGUUAAAUGAGGGCCUCACUGUCUCUUACAUUUGACCAAUAAACCUGAUCUUUCAGUCCAAAAGCUGAAAUAAACACAUAAGACGAGAAGACCCUGUGGAGCUUCAUAAACUAAAUCCAUAUAACCUAAUGGACAUUCGUUUUUAGUUGGGGCGACUUUGGAGCACAACAAACCCUCCAACUACGGAACUCUUUCUAGAUAUACAAAUCAAAACCCUGCCCUAGACCCAGUAGUUUAAUUACACUAUCUGACCUAUGAACCAAGUUACCCCAGGGAUAACAGCGCUAUCCUCUUCUAGAGUCCCUAUCGACAAGAGGGUUUACGACCUCGAUGUUGGAUCAGGACACCCAUAUAGUGCAGCCGCUAUAAAAG
rnacentral:rRNA from 1 species